AAGUCGUAACAAGGUUUCCGUAGGUGAACCUGCGGAAGGGUCAUUACCACAUUUUGUGUUUUGGUGUGUGUGAAAGCACUCAUUGAACACAAAAAUCAAUAUUCAAAACUAUACCAAUCAUGUGUGAAGCAAAAGAAAUUGAUCUUGGUGGCUUUGUACUCGUUUUCACAAGUGGAAUGGAGGGAAAGCCGCCCAAUUUUUUGUAACAAACACUCUUAUAAACGAACACUAAACGAAAACUUUUUUCAGUCUUUUUCUUAAGUGUAAAAAGGCGACAAAAACCAAAUGAGAUAAAACUUUUAACGGUGGAUCUCUUGGCUCGU
rnacentral:misc_RNA from 1 species